rnacentral:rRNA from 1 species
AUGAGCUCCCCAGCGGCGGCCGUGAAGGUGAUCGGCGCAUUGGACAGCCCGUUCAGCCACCGCGCCGAGAUCGCCCUGCGCCUGAAAGGAAUCCCUUACGAGCUCAUCCCAGAAGACCUGAGAAACAAAAGCGAGCUGCUGCUGGCCAACAACCCCGUCCACAAGAAAGUUCCCGUGCUCCUCCACGGCGACCGCGCCGUCUGCGAGUCCCUCCUUAUCGUCGAGUACGUCGACGAGGCCUUCCCCGGCCCACCCCUCCUCCCCGCCGACCCAUAUGAGAGGGCCAUGGCCCGCUUCUGGGCCAGCUUCAUCGACGGCAAGUGCUCGAAGGCGUACUGGCUGGCGCUGUGGGCGGAGGGCGAGGCGCAGGAGGGGUUUAUGAAGGAGACCAAGGAGAACUUCGCGCUGCUGGAGGCGCAGCUGGAGGGGAGGCGGUUCUUCGGCGGCGACGCCAUCGGUCUUGUCGACAUCGCGGCAUGCGGGUUAGCGCACUGGCUGGGCGUCUUCGAGGAGGUCGCCGAGGUGAGACUGGCCACCGAGGACGAGUUCCCUCGCCUCUGCCGCUGGGCCAAGGAGUACGUGUCCGACGAGAAGGUGAGGGCGUGCCUGCCGGACAGGCCGCAGCUGCUCGCCCGCUUCGCUGCCAACAAGGGGAUGUUCAUGGCCAUCGCCAAGUCCAUGCUGCCGCCCAAGUAG